UACGUAGGGACCAAGCGUUGUUCGGAUUUACUGGGCGUAAAGGGCGCGUAGGCGGCGCGGUACGUCACUUGUGAAAUCUCUGAGCUUAACUCAGAACGGCCAAGUGAUACUGCAGUGCUAGAGUGUGGAAGGGGCAAUCGGAAUUCUUGGUGUAGCGGUGAAAUGCGUAGAUAUCAAGAGGAACACCUGAGGUGAAGACGGGUUGCUGGGCCAACACUGACGCUGAGGCGCGAAAGCAAGGGGAGCAAACGGG
rnacentral:rRNA from 1 species